CUGAUACAAUGUGUGCAGCUUUCAUUUGUGUCUGAUGGCAGUGUCUGUCUGUGCUUUGCCUCCAGAUCCUGCUAUAUCCAUAAAUAUAUAGCUGAAAGUAAGUUGAAAUCACAGUGCAAUAUCAUUUUAUUUGAAAUAAGCUGACCUCCUGUGUGAUUUAAUAAAUAA
ensembl:snoRNA